CACUCUGAUCAUUUGCCCCGUCUUGUAGCACUGACACGUGGUCCAUGCCCCACAUGUCAGUGAUACAGGGCGAGGCAAAUGAUCAAAGUG